rnacentral:rRNA from 1 species
GACGAACGCUGGCGGCGUGCUUAACACAUGCAAGUCGAGCGGUAAGGCCCUUUCGGGGGUACACGAGCGGCGAACGGGUGAGUAACACGUGGGUGACCUGCCCUCAGCUCUGGGAUAAGCCUGGGAAACCGGGUCUAAUACCGGAUAUGACUCCAUGACGCAUGUUGUGGGGUGGAAAGCCUUGUGCGGCUGAGGAUGGGCCCGCGGCCUAUCAGCUUGUUGGUGGGGUGAUGGCCUACCAAGGCGACGACGGGUAGCCGGCCUGAGAGGGCGACCGGCCACACUGGGACUGAGACACGGCCCAGACUCCUACGGGAGGCAGCAGUGGGGAAUCUUGCGCAAUGGGCGAGAGCCUGACGCAGCGACGCCGCGUGAGGGAUGACGGCCU